UACGUAGGGUGCAAGCGUUGUCCGGAUUUAUUGGGCGUAAAGAGCUCGUAGGCGGUUCGGUAAGUCGGGUGUGAAACCUCCAGGCUCAACCUGGAGACGCCACCCGAUACUGCUGUGACUUGAGUCCGGUAGGGGAGCGUGGAAUUCCUGGUGUAGCGGUGAAAUGCGCAGAUAUCAGGAGGAACACCGGUGGCGAAGGCGGUUCUCUGGGCAGUAACUGACGCUGAGGAGCGAAAGCGUGGGGAGCGAACAGG
rnacentral:rRNA from 1 species